AAGUUUUUUUUUUUUUUUUUUUUUUUUUUGAUGUUGACCGAGUAUG
rnacentral:ribozyme from 1 species